ensembl:rRNA 5S_rRNA 5S ribosomal RNA
GUCUACGGCCAUGACACCCUGAACAAGCCCGAUCCCAUCUGAUGUCAUAAGCUAAGGGUCGGGCCUGGUUAGUAGUUGUAUGGGAGACCACCUAGGAAGACCAGGUGCUGUAUAGG